CCCCAGGCUGCAGGAGAAGCGAAGUGUUGGGGAGGUGUUGAGGACCGGGGGAGUGAAGGACCGCCAUAUGAAGCCAGCCUGCAGGAGAAAGAGAUUCUUCCCUGGAGGAGGUGGGUAGGAAGAGACCACUGCCCAAUUCAAACAGCCUGAUCUCCUACCAAGAUAAUGACGUGCAGAAGGUUUGCAAAGAGCCCAGUUCAUCUUUCCGACGGUGCUUGGUUCAUGCCGGAGGCUCCGUGAGAGAAGAUGGCCACCUUGGGGUGUGCUCAGAUUUGGGGAGCCUCUCAGAGGCAGCAGUGGCUAGGGCCCAUGAGGCGUGUCGUAUGUAGAUAAAUUCUGCCGUGUGUGUGCUCACUAAAUCCACCAUGCUAGAAAUGCAUUUGGAGGCAAUCCUGCCUGCCCACAGCAGAUUUUCCAGAUCC
rnacentral:lncRNA from 1 species